ensembl:lncRNA
UAGAAUCAAGAUAUAAUUUAUUGCAACAGUUGCUAAGGAAUCCAUCAUCUCCUAGAAACCAUUUUGAUUAUAAGGGAAUUUCAAACAAUUAAAACAUCACAAUAUUCUGAUGUCAUCACAGUCCACCGAAUACAUUCUGAUGUCAUCACAACCCACCAUACACAUUCUGAUGACAUCACAACCCACCAUACACAUUCUGAUGACAUCACAACCCACCAUACACAUUCUGAUGACAUCACAACCCACCAUACACAUUCUGAUGACAUCACAACCCACCAUACACAUUCUGAUGACAUCAGUCCACCAGAUACAUUCUCCAGAUUGUGUCUUGUUCACAUUGACAGUUAAAGAUGUAAAAGGUAGCAGAGCUGUAACAGAGCUGUAAUGUUGUGAUGUCUAUUGGUGCGUUAGUAAAUUCACUCUGACUAUCUAAUCCUAUUCCAGAGCACUCAUCGUCUGAGUGUACCAGAGUCCAAAAUAACUGAUUAAUUUACGAGCACCCAUUGAAUAUGAUCAGUGUCAGUAAACGUUGGCAAAGAAAUAUAAAUAUAUUGUUGUCAGCAGCACAAUUACAGUCACCAAUGCUCUGGAUAACAUGAAAACAUCCUAUCCAGCUCUGCUAUGGUAAAUGGUCAGAGUGAGGUGUUGUUUCAUUUGUGUCUGGAAGUAGCUAGCAAGCUAGUCAACUUUAGCCAGUUAUCUUGGGUGCUUGACAGCCGUUGUUAGGUCAGAACGCUGAGCUGAUUAACCGCCAGUGUCCAGUGUGAGCUCUGAUUAACCGCCAGUGUCCAGUGUGAGCUCUGAUUAGUCCAAGAGUGAAACGCUCUGAAUUUACUAAUUCUGCACUCUUGCACUCCAGAGUGAAUUUACAAACAAACCCUAUAACUAGUCUGGUUGUAGUCUUUUCUAUAUGAGGUAACACAGAGACCUAUAGCUACCAGGGCUGGAUGUAUUAUUGUUAAAUUUAGUUCACUUCAAUUCAGUCUAUCCCUAACCCUAACUUCACUGCAUGGGAAAUUAAACCAGUUAUGCGUUUGUUGAAGUAGAUGGCCUAUUGCAGGUCAUUCGCCUGGUGGAGUUGUCUGUAGCUGACAGGGUUAGGUGUAGUCUGGUAUAGCUGUCUGUAGCUGAUAGGGUUAGGUGUAGUCUGGUAUAGCUGUCUGUAGCUGAUAGGGUUAGGUGUAGUCUGGUAUAGUUGUCUGUAGCUGAUAGGGUUAGGUGUAGUCUGGUAUAGUUGUCGUCUAUCAGUUGAUGAUUUACGUUGGGUCUGGUAUUUGUAGUUCAUCAGUAGAAGCUGCAGGGUGGGUGUGGUAGUUGUAGUCCAUCAGUAGAAGAUGCUGGGUGGGUGUGGUAGUUGUAGUCCAUCAGAAGAAGAUGCAGGGUGGGUGUGGUAGUUGUAGUCCAUCAGUAGAAGAUGCAGGGUGGGUGUGGGUCUGAUGAGAAACCUGUAGUACUCCUUGAGUAUCCCCAACAGUACACAUUUUAUUGUAUCCCUGGACAAGCACACCUGAUUCAGUACUGGAGGAGAAGUUGGGAAACACCGCUGUAGGACACAGAAACAUAAAGACUUAGCUAGGUUAUCUUUUUCAUAUUUUAAUGUCACCCUUAUUUAACCAUACAGUGUUCACAAAGUUACGCAUUAAAAACAACACAUUUCCAGGGCCAAACAGAAAACCUUUCUACUCAUAACCCAAAUAAGUACUCAUAACCCAAAUGAGUAUUCAUAACCAAAACGUAUGCCGCCAAACAUACCCUCAUAAAACUAACUAUCCUACCGAUCCUCAACUUUAGCAAUGUCAUCUACAAAAUAGCCUCCAACACUCUAUUCAGCAAACUGGAUGCAGUCUAUCACUGUGCCAUCCAUUUUGAUACCAAAGCCCCAUAUACUACCCACCAUUGUGACCUGUACGCUUACUGAAGCUGGAGACUUAUAUUUCCCUCACUAACUUUAAACAUCAGCUAUCUGAGCAGCUAACCGAUCACUGCAGCUGUACAUAGUCCAUCUGUAAAUAGCCCAGCCAAUUUACCUACCUCAUCCCCAUAUUGUUUUAUUUACUUUUCGGCUAUUUUGCACACCAGUAUUUCUACUUGCACAUCAUCAUCUGCUCAUCUAUCACUCCAGUGUUAAUUUGCUUAAUUGUAAUGAUUUCGCUACUAUGGCCUAUUUAUUGCCUUACCUCCUCACGUCACUUGCACACACUGUAUAUAGACUUUCUUUUUUUUCCUAUUGUGUUAUUGACUAUAUGCUUGUUUAUUCCAUGUGUAACUCUGUUAUUGUUUGUGUCGCACUGCUUUGCUUUAUCUUGGCCAGGUCGCAGUUGUAAAUGAGAACUUGUUCUCAACUAGCCUACCUGGUUAAAUAAAGGUGAAAUAUAUAUAUUUUUUUAAGUACUCAUAACCCCUGAUAAGUCUUCAAACCAAAUAAGUACAAAUAACCCAAAUAAGUAUCAAACCCAAAUAAGAAGUCAUAAUCCCAAAUAAAUACUCAUAUACUCUAAUAAAUACUCAUAACCCAAAUAAAU